UAGGGAAUCUUCCACAAUGGACGCAAGUCUGAUGGAGCAACGCCGCGUGAGUGAAGAAGGUUUUCGGAUCGUAAAGCUCUGUUGUUGGUGAAGAAGGAUAGAGGUAGUAACUGGCCUUUAUUUGACGGUAAUCAACCAGAAAGUCACGGCUAACUACGUGCCAGCAGCCGCGGUAAUACGUAGGUGGCAAGCGUUGUCCGGAUUUAUUGGGCGUAAAGCGAGCGCAGGCGGAAGAAUAAGUCUGAUGUGAAAGCCCUCGGCUUAACCGAGGAACUGCAUCGGAAACUGUUUUUCUUGAGUGCAGAAGAGGAGAGUGGAACUCCAUGUGUAGCGGUGGAAUGCGUAGAUAUAUGGAAGAACACCAGUGGCGAAGGAGACUCUCUGGUCUGCAACUGACGCUGAGGCUCGAAAGCAUGGGUAGCGAACAGG
rnacentral:rRNA from 2 species